rnacentral:rRNA from 1 species
AUGAACGCUAGCUACAGGCUUAACACAUGCAAGUCGAGGGGCAGCAUGGUCUUAGCUUGCUAAGGCCGAUGGCGACCGGCGCACGGGUGAGUAACACGUAUCCAACCUGCCGUCUACUCUUGGACAGCCUUCUGAAAGGAAGAUUAAUCCAGGAUGGCAUCAUGAGUCCACAUGUUCUCAUGAUUAAAGGUAUUCCGGUAGACGAUGGGGAUGCGUUCCAUUAGAUAGUAGGCGGGGUAACGGCCCACCUAGUCGACGAUGGAUAGGGGUUCUGAGAGGAAGGUCCCCCACAUUGGAACUGAGACACGGUCCAAACUCCUACGGGAGGCAGCAGUGAGGAAUAUUGGUCAAUGGGCGAGAGCCUGAACCAGCCAAGUAGCGUGAAGGAUGACUGCCCUAUGGGUUGUAAACUUCUUUUAUAAAGGAAUAAAGUCGGGUAUGCAUACCCGUUUGCAUGUACUUUAUGAAUAAGGAUCGGCUAACUCCGUGCCAGCAGCCGCGGUAAUACGGAGGAUCCGAGCGUUAUCCGGAUUUAUUGGGUUUAAAGGGAGCGUAGAUGGAUGUUUAAGUCAGUUGUGAAAGUUUGCGGCUCAACCGUAAAAUUGCAGUUGAUACUGGAUGUCUUGAGUUCAGUUGAGGCAGGCGGAAUUCGUGGUGUAGCGGUGAAAUGCUUAGAUAUCACGAAGAACUCCGAUUGCGAAGGCAGCCUGCUAAUCUGCGACUGACAUUGAGGCUCGAAAGUGUGGGUAUCAAACAGGAUUAGAUACCCUGGUAGUCCACACGGUAAACGAUGAAUACUCGCUGUUUGCGAUAUACAGCAAGCGGCCAAGCGAAAGCGUUAAGUAUUCCACCUGGGGAGUACGCCGGCAACGGUGAAACUCAAAGGAAUUGACGGGGGCCCGCACAAGCGGUGGAGCAUGUGGUUUAAUUCGAAGCAACGCGAAGAACCUUACCAAGUCUUGACAUCCUCUUGACCGGCGUGUAACGGCGCCUUCCCUUCGGGGCAAGAGAGACAGGUGGUGCAUGGUUGUCGUCAGCUCGUGCCGUGAGGUGUCGGCUUAAGUGCCAUAACGAGCGCAACCCUUGUUGUCAGUUACUAACAGGUUCCGCUGAGGACUCUGACAAGACUGCCAUCGUAAGAUGUGAGGAAGGUGGGGAUGACGUCAAAUCAGCACGGCCCUUACGUCCGGGGCUACACACGUGUUACAAUGGGGGGUACAGAGGGUCGCUACCACGCGAGUGGCUGCCAAUCCCCAAAACCCCUCUCAGUUCGGACUGGAGUCUGCAACCCGACUCCACGAAGCUGGAUUCGCUAGUAAUCGCGCAUCAGCCACGGCGCGGUGAAUACGUUCCCGGGCCUUGUACACACCGCCCGUCAAGCCAUGGGAGCCGGGGGUACCUGAAGUGCGUAACCGCGAGGAGCGCCCUAGGGUAAAACUGGUGACUGGGGCU